AUACGGAGGGUGCAAGCGUUAUUCGGAAUCACUGGGCGUAAAGGACGCGUAGGCGGGGUGGAAAGUCAGGUGUGAAAGCCUACAGCUUAACCGUAGAACUGCACUUGAAACUCUCACCCUAGAGUAUGGGAGGGGCAGAUGGAAUUAGUGGUGUAGGGGUAAAAUCCGUAGAUAUCACUAGGAAUACCGAAAGCGAAGGCGAUCUGCUGGAACAUAACUGACGCUAAGGCGUGAAAGCGUGGGGAGCAAACAGGAUUAGAAACCCCAGUAGUCC
rnacentral:rRNA from 1 species